rnacentral:ncRNA from 1 species
GCAGGCGUAAGAGUAUUGAGAGGAGCCCUCCUUAGUACGAGAGGACCGGGAGGGACGCACCGCUGGUGUACCAGUUAUCGUGCCAACGGUAAACGCUGGGUAGCCAAGUGCGGAGAGGAUAACCGCUGAAAGCAUCUAAGUGGGAAGCCCACCUCAAGAUGAGUACUCUCACUCUGUUAAGGAGGUAAGGUCACAGUAAGAACAGCUGUUGAUAGGCGUUAGGUGGAAGUUUAGUAAUAGAUGAAGCCGAGACGUACUAACUGACCGAGGGCUUGACCAC